AUACGGAGGGUGCAAGCGUUAUCCGGAUUCAUUGGGUUUAAAGGGUGCGCAGGCGGAUAUUUAAGUCAGUGGUGAAAUCCCGGGGCUCAACCUCGGAACUGCCAUUGAUACUGAAUAUCUGGAAUACGGUUGAAGUGGGCGGAAUGUAGCAUGUAGCGGUGAAAUGCAUAGAGAUGCUACAGAACACCGAUCGCGAAGGCAGCUCACUAAGCCGAUAUUGACGCUCAGGCACGAAAGCGUGGGGAGCGAACAGGAUUAGAUACCCCAGUAGUCC
rnacentral:rRNA from 1 species